rnacentral:rRNA from 1 species
UACGUAGGGACCAAGCGUUGUUCGGAUUUACUGGGCGUAAAGGGCGCGUAGGCGGCAAAUUAAGUCAGCUGUGAAAUCUCCGAGCUUAACUCGGAACUGUCAGCUGAUACUGAUGUGCUAGAGUGCGGAAGGGGCAAUCGGAAUUCUUGGUGUAGCGGUGAAAUGCGUAGAUAUCAAGAGGAACACCUGAGGUGAAGACGGCUUCCUGGACCGACACUGACGCUGAGGCGCGAAAGCUAGGGGAGCAAACGGG